rnacentral:rRNA from 1 species
UACGGAGGGUGCGAGCGUUGUCCGGAAUCACUGGGCGUAAAGGGCGCGUAGGCGGCGCGGGUAGUCAUCGGUGAAAGUUCAGGGCUCAACUCUGAAUCGGCCGGUGAUACUCCCGUGCUCGAGCACUGUAGAGGCAGGUGGAAUUCCGGGUGUAGCGGUGGAAUGCGUAGAGAUCCGGAAGAACACCGGUGGCGAAGGCGGUCUGCUGGGCCAAGACUGACGCUGAGGCGCGACAGCGUGGGGAGCAAACAGG